GAUGAACGCUGGCGGCGUGCCUAAUACAUGCAAGUCGAGCGAACAGAUGAGGAGCUUGCUCCUCUGACGUUAGCGGCGGACGGGUGAGUAACACGUGGAUAACCUACCUAUAAGACUGGGAUAACUUCGGGAAACCGGAGCUAAUACCGGAUAAUAUAUUUAACCGCAUGUUUCAAUAGUGAAAGACGGUUUUGCUGUCACUUAUAGAUGUAUCCGCGUCGCAUUAGCUAGUUGGUAAGGUAACGGCUAACAAAGCCAACGAUGCGUACCCAACCGGGGAGGUGAAUCGGCAACACUGGAACUGAGAAACGGUCCAAAUUCCUACGGGAGGAAGAAGUAGGAAAUCUUGCGAAAUGGGCGAAAGCUGGACGGAGAAACGCCGCGUGAGUGAGGAAGGUCUUCGAAUCGUAAAACUCUGUUAUAAGGGAAGAACAAAGGUGUAAGUAACUGUGCACGUCUUGACGGUACCUAAUCAGAAAGCCACGGCUAACUACGUG
rnacentral:rRNA from 1 species